CCUACGGGUGGCAGCAGUAGGGAAUAUUGCUCAAUGGGGGAAACCCUGAAGCAGCAACGCCGCGUGGAGGAUGAAGGUUUUCGGAUUGUAAACUCCUUUUGUUAGAGAAGAUAAUGACGGUAUCUAACGAAUAGGCACCGGCUAACUCCGUGCCAGCAGCCGCGGUAAUAUGGAGGGUGCAAGCGUUAUUCGGAAUCACUGGGCGUAAAGAGCGCGUAGGCGGGAGAGCAAGUCAGAUGUGAAAUCCUAUGGCUUAACCAUAGUACUGCAUUUGAAACUGUUAGUCUAGAGUAUGGGAGAGGAAGGUGGAAUUCUUGGUGUAGGGGUAAAAUGCGUAGAGAUCAAGAGGAACACUCAUUGCGAAGGCGACCUGCUAGAACAUAACUGACGCUGAUGCGCGAAAGCGUGGGGAGCAAACAGGAUUAGAUACCCCAGUAGUC
rnacentral:rRNA from 1 species